rnacentral:lncRNA from 1 species
GGCGCCCUGCCAGAGGCGCGCUCCAGCCGCGGGCCCGCCCCCCCGGCCCUCCGAUUGGGCGUCCCCGGGGGUGUGUGGGGGGGCGGGGCGCCCGCGGGGGCCGCCGGCCGGUGGUACGGCCCAGCCACCGGCCUCCAACACCCCUCGCCGCGGCUCAAGUUUCUGCGCCCGGAGGACGCGGCCUCGGCCAAUCCCCGGGCUACAGGGCGCUUUUAAAAUGCAGGCCCAACCCCGUGCAAAUGAAUCCGGGUUUGGAGAGGGUUUCAGCUUACACUUGGGGAGGCGGCAAGCCACUCCCCCGUCCCAAGCCAGAUCAAACAGCUCCCUGGAGGUAUCCCCCAAAGGAAGCCCGUGCAGAGAGCUCCUGGAAGAGAAGAGAAUCUCCCUCCCAGUGUGUGUCCAUUUAAAGCCACACAGAUGUUUUUGA